rnacentral:rRNA from 1 species
UACGAAGGGGGCUAGCGUUGCUCGGAAUCACUGGGCGUAAAGCGCACGUAGGCGGACUCUUAAGUCGGUGGUGAAAUCCUGGAGCUCAACUCCAGAACUGCCUUCGAUACUGAGAGUCUCGAGUCCGAGAGAGGUGAGUGGAACUGCGAGUGUAGAGGUGAAAUUCGUAGAUAUUCACAAGAACACCAGUGGCGAAGGCGGCUCACUGGCUCGGUACUGACGCUGAGGUGCGAAAGCGUGGGGAGCAAACAGG